AUUCCAGCUCCAAUAGCGUAUAUUAAAGUUGUUGCAGUUAAAAAGCUCGUAGUUGGAUUUCGGAAUGGGUCAGUUGGUCCGCCGCAAGGUGAGUUACUGACUGAUUUGUUCUUCUUCGCAAAGACUGCGUGUGCUCUUUACUGAGUGUACGUAGGAUUUACGACGUUUACUUUGAAAAAAUUAGAGUGUUCAAAGCAGGCUAUCGCUUGAAUACAUGAGCAUGGAAUAAUGGAAUAGGACUUUGGUUCUAUUUUGUUGGUUUCUAGGACCGAAGUAAUGAUUAAGAGGGACAAUUGGGGGCAUCCGUAUUUCGUUGUCAGAGGUGAAAUUCUUGGAUUUACGAAAGACGAACAACUGCGAAAGCACUUGCCAAGAGUGUUUUCAUCA
rnacentral:rRNA from 1 species